CUUUAGUCCCAGCUGCCCGCUGCCCCCAUCAGGGUGAUUUAAACAGACCCUUUGCCACCCUCCCCAACUGGUCCUGUCUAGGAGGCAAUAAAUUCUCUGGUAAUAAUGGUCUGGCAUGAGCCAUAAAGCGCUCACUGAUACAGGGCUCCCACUGAUCUAAAGUGCUGUCCAUUUGCUUCUUAAGUGCAAUCAGCAGCCUUGCUCUAGACAGCGGAUCCUUCCCUCCUCGGGGGAGCCUGAUGCAGUUAAAUUCUUUAUGGACAGGCAUGGCCCUUAAUCAAAGUCAGCGUCAAUCAGCCGAGGUCAAGCUCCACAACCAGGGAAUUAUGGGAUUGGAUCCAUCUGAGCAGGGGCUGCCCUUGUCCUGCUCCAGAUUCUUUCUUGCACCUCCAGUUUUUCCAAGCAUCCUUGCUUUGUGCCUGCCUGGGGAGCCUCUUCGCUUGGUCCUGACAUGGGCCACCAAUUUCUCCACCCAUGUCCCUGUGCAAUGCUUGAUGAGUGUCAAUAUCCACAGAGAGCCCCUGCAAUGCGGCCACCUUUGAGGGAGAGGGCAGCAGCCAGAUGGACAACUGUUGCACCAAACAGUUGUCCAUUGAAUGAAUGGGUAGUUGGGAGUCAAGCCUCUGUUCUACAUCUCCUCACACGACCUCCUGCAGCACAGAGCACAGUGCCCCUAGCACCACCCUGGGGUAUUGGUUCAGUGGGGAGAGUGCCACAUACUGGAUGAUGAAGACUGCUUUCUCCAGCGCCUAGGAAAGUCCUGUUCAACGUGAUCAUGAGCAAGAACCUAAUCUUUAAUAGCUGUCCAGGCUCAUCUCCUGCCACCAAUGUUCAUGCAGCAGGUGUCUUCCAAGAGCUUCAGUGCAUGUCGUGGGCCAGAUCCUCAGCUGGGAGAAGCCAACAGAGCUCAUGAGACAUCAUCUCUUCCAACUGUGAUAGCAAUUCCGUGAAGAGGAUCCUCAGUCAGGAGCUGGCAGCCAGACUCCGAGCUGAUGUCAUGGGAAUAAAUCUGUGCUCCGAUCCAGUGACCUGUCCUUAAACGCUUGGAUGAGCUUGUUCUACUGAUCCAGGACAGUAGACGGUAAAUCAUUACCAACCGACGGCUGUGAAGGGGCCUGUGUGAAACGAAUCUGUGGUCUCAGUUCAGUCCGUCUGAUCUCAUGUACGUCGACUGCGAACUCCACUGACUUUGUGGGUGCCUGGUUGACACUGGUGCAGGUGAAAGGAGAGUUGGGCCCCGGGUGUCCCCAUCAGAGAACCGCAGCCCCACACCUGGCAUUCACCUGCACCCUGGGAUCAGACAGGCCGGUGGUCGAGGAUGGAAUGGACAUGAGGAGUGAGCUGCCUUCUGCUUAGGAGUGGACUCUGCAUGUCAGGGGAUGAGUCUCGCUAACAGGUUGGGUCUGUACGUGCACACUACUGCUGCCCGUGCUGGGGAUAAGCAGGGUUCUUUCCAUAGUUAUUAACCUGGCUCCUUGCCCUGCCACGAAAUUUACUGCACAAACUAAUCUCGCUGCAUCACUGUGCUCAGAGUAAGAGUGGGCUUGGGGCUAAGGCCUCAAAUCAUCCAACAUGCAGAGUCUACUAGGGACCGUUGCACCAGCUGGAGUGACCACGGCGAUGGCCUUGCACCAGGCAUGGUAUAGUGGAGUUUGUGAGAUUGUGACAUUUUGCACAAAGUCUGGCCUGCCUUCAGCUGCUCAUUUUAUUAAAAAAUGAUGUUGCGUGCUCUGCAGCCACGUUGCCAGGAUGGACAAAACCACACCAGCGUACUGUGCUCUCAGACUCUCCAGCGGUGCACAAAGGGAUGCAUGCCCCGACCCCGCCUGAUGCUGCUCGUGGGGUUUCCCCAGAGAUCUGUGGAUUUGCAGGAUUGAGCCGGAUCUGGGAUUAGUAGUUCUGCCUUCAGACCCUGGCUCUACCACAGAUGGCCUGUGUGACCACGUGCAAGUCACUUAAUGUCUCUGUGCCUCAAUUCUCCAUCUGUAAAAUGGGGAUAAUACUCCUCAUUUCCACCCCUUGUCGAGUUAGACGAUACAUGCUUCAGUGUGGUAGCUGUCUCUUGCUAUGUGUAUGGACCGAGUAUUGCACAAUGCUGUAGCUGAUUCUCCUUUGGGGGGCUACCCUGCUAUAAAAAAUAGUCAUCUGG